rnacentral:rRNA from 1 species
AACGAACGCUGGCGGCAGGCUUAACACAUGCAAGUCGAGCGCAUCCUUCGGGGUGAGCGGCAGACGGGUGAGUAACGCGUGGGAAUCUACCUUUUGCUACGGAAUAGCUCCGGGGAACUGGAAUUAAUACCGUAUGUGCCCUUAGGGGGAAAGAUUUAUCGGCAAGAGAUGAGCCCGCGUUGGAUUAGCUAGUUGGUGGGGUAAAGGCCUACCAAGGCGACGAUCCAUAGCUGGUCUGAGAGGAUGAUCAGCCACAUUGGGACUGAGACACGGCCCAAACUCCUACGGGAGGCAGCAGUGGGGAAUAUUGGACAAUGGGCGCAAGCCUGAUCCAGCCAUGCCGCGUGAGUGAUGAAGGCCUUAGGGUUGUAAAGCUCUUUCACCGGAGAAGAUAAUGACGGUAUCCGGAGAAGAAGCCCCGGCUAACUUCGU